rnacentral:rRNA from 1 species
UUUUUUUAUGCGGUUACAAUCAGCGUCAGUACAACAAAUGUAAAUCAUUUACAACUUUCAACAACGGAUCUCUUGGUUCUGGCAUCGAUGAAGAACGCAGCGAAAUGCGAUACGUAGUGUGAAUUGCAGAAUUCAGUGAAUCAUCGAAUCUUUGAACGCACAUUGCGCCCUUUGGUAUUCCAAAGGGCAUGCCUGUUCGAGCGUCAUUUGUACCCUCAAGCUUUGCUUGGUGUUGGGCGUUUUUUGUCUUUGGUUGCCAAAGACUCGCCUUAAAAGGAUUGGCAGCCGGCCUACUGGUUUCGCAGCGCAGCACAUUUUUGCGCUUGCAUAUCAGCAAAAAGAGGGCGGCACUCCAUCAAGACUCCUUUUCACGUUGACCUCGGAUCAGGUAGGUUCCCAGCC